rnacentral:rRNA from 1 species
AUAAAAAACCAAUGCCUUCGGGCUCCUUGGUGAUUCAUGAUAACUUAACGAAUCGCAUGGCCUUGUGCCGGCGAUGGUUCAUUCAAAUUUCUGCCCUAUCAACUUUCGAUGGUUGGAUAGUGGCCUACCAUGGUUUCAACGGGUAACGGGGAAUUAGGGUUUUAUUCCGGAGAGGGAGCCUGAGAAACGGCUACCACAUCCAAGGAAGGCAGCAGGCGCGCAAAUUACCAAUCCCGACACGGGGAGGAGUGACAAUAAAUACUGAUACAGGGCCCUUUCGGGUCUUGUAAUUGGAAUGAGUACAAUUUAAAUCCCUUAACGAGGAACAAUUGGAGGGCAAGGUCUGGUGCCAGCAGCCGCGGUAAUUCCAGCCUCCAAUAGCGUAUAUUAAAGUUGUUGCAGUUAAAAAGCUCGUAGUUGAACCUUGGGCCUGGCUGGCCGGUCCGCCUCACCGCGUGCACUGGUCCGGCCGGGUCUUUCCUUCUGGCUAACCUCAUGCCCUUCACUGGGUGUGUU